rnacentral:tRNA from 1 species
GCCCGGAUGGUGGAAUCGGUAGACACAAGGGAUUUAAAUUUAAAAUCCCUCGGCGUUCGCGCUGUGGAUUUAAAAUCCCUCGGCGUUCGCGCUGUGCGGGUUCAAGUCCCGCUCCGGGUACCA